rnacentral:rRNA from 1 species
UACAGAGGGGGCUAGCGUUGUUCGGAAUUACUGGGCGUAAAGGGUUCGUAGGUGGCCCGCUAAGUCAGACGUGAAAUCCCUCAGCUCAACUGGGGAACUGCGUCCGAUACUGGUUGGCUUGAAUCCGGGAGAGGGAUGUGGAAUUCCAGGUGUAGCGGUGAAAUGCGUAGAUAUCUGGAGGAAUACCGGUGGCGAAGGCGGCAUCCUGGACCGGCAUUGACGCUGAGGAGCGAAAGCCAGGGGAGCAAACGGG